UACGAGGGGGGCGAGCGUUGUUCGGAAUUAUUGGGCGUAAAGGGUGCGUAGGUGGUUGUUUAAGUCUGUUGUGAAAGCCCCGGGCUCAACCUGGGAAUGGCAAUGGAUACUGGACAGCUAGAGUGCGGUAGAGGGUAGUGGAAUUCCCGGUGUAGCAGUGAAAUGCGUAGAGAUCGGGAGGAACACCAGUGGCGAAGGCGGCUACCUGGACCAGCACUGACACUGAAGCACGAAAGCGUGGGGAGCAAACAGG
rnacentral:rRNA from 1 species